UGGCGGACGGGUGAGUAAUGUAUGAGCAACCUGCCUUUCAGUGGGGGACAACAGUUGGAAACGACUGCUAAUACCGCAUGAUGUCAAUUGGGGGCAUCCCCGAAUGACCAAAGGAUUUAUUCGCUGAAAGAUGGGCUCAUAUCUGAUUAGCUAGUUGGUGAGGUAACGGCUCACCAAGGCUGCGAUCAGUAGCCGGACUGAGAGGUUGAACGGCCACAUUGGGACUGAGAUACGGCCCAGACUCCUACGGGAGGCAGCAGUGGGGAAUAUUGGGCAAUGGGCGAAAGCCUGACCCAGCAACGCCGCGUGAAGGAAGAAGGUCUUCGGAUUGUAAACUUCUUUUAUGAGGGACGAAGGACGUGACGGUACCUCAUGAAUAAGCCACGGCUAACUACGUGCCAGCAGCCGCGGUAAUACGUAGGUGGCAAGCGUUAUCCGGAUUUACUGGGUGUAAAGGGCGCGUAGGCGGGGAUGCAAGUCAGAUGUGAAAUCUAUGGGCUUAACCCAUAAACUGCAUUUGAAACUGUAUCUCUUGAGUGCUGGAGAGGUAGACGGAAUUCCUUGUGUAGCGGUGAAAUGCGUAGAUAUAAGGAAGAACACCAGUGGCGAAGGCGGUCUACUGGACAGUAACUGACGCUGAGGCGCGAGAGCGUGGGGAGCAAACAGGAUUAGAUACCCUGGUAGUCCACGCUGUAAACGAUGAAUACUAGGUGUGGGGGGACUGACCCCUUCCGUGCCGCAGUUAACACAAUAAGUAUUCCACCUGGGGAGUACGGCCGCAAGG
rnacentral:rRNA from 1 species